GUCCUUUUGUUUAUUAUUUAAGGUCUAACCUGCCCACUGAUUUAUUAAAUGGCCGCGGUAUUUUGACCGUGCAAAGGUAGCAUAAUCACUUGUCUUUUAAUUGAAGGCUUGUAUGAAUGGUUGGACGAGAAAAAUACUUUAUUUAUUUAAUUUUUAUGAAUUUAAUUUUUUAGUUAAAAAGCUGAGAUUUUUUUAUAGGACGAGAAGACCCUAUAGAACUUUAUAAUUGUUAUUAUUUUUUAAUUUUUGUUUAUUAUUUUAUUUUAUAUUUUUAAUUAUUUUGUUGGGGUGACAGGAAAAUUUUAUUAACUUUUCUUAUUUUUUUUCAUUGAUUUAUGUUUUGUUUUUGAUCCAAAUUUGUUUGAUUAUAAGAUUAAGUUACCUUAGGGAUAACAGCGUUAUUUUUUUUGAGAGUUCUUAUCGAUAAAGAAGUUUGCGA
rnacentral:rRNA from 1 species